rnacentral:tRNA from 4 species
GGAGGGGUGCCCGAGUGGCCAAAGGGAGCAGACUGUAAAUCUGCCGGCUUAUGCCUUCGGUGGUUCGAAUCCACCCCCCUCCACAA